rnacentral:rRNA from 1 species
GUCGAGCGGACAGAUGGGAGCUUGCUCCCUGAUGUUAGCGGCGGACGGGUGAGUAACACGUGGGUAACCUGCCUGUAAGACUGGGAUAACUCCGGGAAACCGGGGCUAAUACCGGAUGGUUGUUUGAACCGCAUGGUUCAAACAUAAAAGGUGGCUUCGGCUACCACUUACAGAUGGACCCGCGGCGCAUUAGCUAGUUGGUGAGGUAACGGCUCACCAAGGCAACGAUGCGUAGCCGACCUGAGAGGGUGAUCGGCCACACUGGGACUGAGACACGGCCCAGACUCCUACGGGAGGCAGCAGUAGGGAAUCUUCCGCAAUGGACGAAAGUCUGACGGAGCAACGCCGCGUGAGUGAUGAAGGUUUUCGGAUCGUAAAGCUCUGUUGUUAGGGAAGAACAAGUACCGUUCGAAUAGGGCGGUACCUUGACGGUACCUAACCAGAAAGCCACGGCUAACUACGUGCCAGCAGCCGCGGUAAUACGUAGGUGGCAAGCGUUGUCCGGAAUUAUUGGGCGUAAAGGGCUCGCAGGCGGUUUCUUAAGUCUGAUGUGAAAGCCCCCGGCUCAACCGGGGAGGGUCAUUGGAAACUGGGGAACUUGAGUGCAGAAGAGGAGAGUGGAAUUCCACGUGUAGCGGUGAAAUGCGUAGAGAUGUGGAGGAACACCAGUGGCGAAGGCGACUCUCUGGUCUGUAACUGACGCUGAGGAGCGAAAGCGUGGGGAGCGAACAGGAUUAGAUACCCUGGUAGUCCACGCCGUAAACGAUGAGUGCUAAGUGUUAGGGGGUUUCCGCCCCUUAGUGCUGCAGCUAACGCAUUAAGCACUCCGCCUGGGGAGUAC